rnacentral:rRNA from 1 species
CAGCCGUAAACUAUGCGCGUUAGGUGUAUCGGUGACCACGAGUUACCGAGGUGCCGAAGGGAAACCGUGAAACGUGCCGCCUGGGAAGUACGGUCGCAAGGCUGAAACUUAAAGGAAUUGGCGGGGGAGCACCACAACAGGUGGAGUCUGCGGUUUAAUUGGACUCAACGCCGGGAAGCUCACCGGAUAGGACAGCAGAAUGAUUGCCGGGCUGAAGACCCUGCAUGACUAGCUGAGAGGAGGUGCAUGGCGUCAGUGACU